rnacentral:rRNA from 1 species
UAUGAGUUUGAUCCUGGCUCAGGAUGAACGCAAAAGACGCACAUAACACAUGCAAGUUAAAUGUGAUUGACAUAAAAUUUAUAGUUAUGUUAAUUACAUAGCGAACGGGUGAGUAAUACAUAAAUGUCAAUGUUUAGAUUAGAAAUAAUAAAAAGAAAUUUUUAGUAAUAUCUAAUAUACGCUUAUAAAGUGUUUUCAAAGGUUUAAUACUGUCUAAAAAUGAAUUUAUGUCUGAUUAGCUAGUUGGUAAAAUAUAAGCUUACCAAGGCGAUAAUCAGUAGUUGGUCUGAGAGGAUGAUCAGCCACAUUGGGAUUGAGAUAAGGCCCAAACUCCUACGGGAGGCAGCAGUGGGGAAUUUUCUGCAAUGAGCGCAAGCUUGACAGAGUGACGUCAUGUGAAGGAUUGAAGGCUUUUUGGUUGUAAACUUCUUUUACCUUAAUGUAAAUAUUGAUACUAAGGUUUAAAAAGCAUCGGCUAACUUCGUGCCAGCAGCCGCGGUAAGACGAGGGAUGCAAGCGUUAUCCGGAAUUACUGGGCGUAAAGCGUCUGUAGGUUGUUUUAUGUGUAUUUAGUAAAAGCACUUAUCCUAAAUAAGUAAUAAUUUAAAUAUACUAUAAAACUAGAGUACAUGAGAGGUAAGAGGAAUUUCUUGAGUAGUGGUGAAAUACGAAGAUACAAGAAAGAAGGCCAUAGGCGAAAGCAUCUUACUGGAUUGUAAAUAAUUAAAAACUGACACUGAAAGACGAAAGUUAAGGUAGCGAAUGGGAUUAGAUACCCCAGUAGUCUUAACUGUAAACGAUGGGUACUCGGUACUGAUUUUUAAUUUAUAAAAUAACAGUUCCUUAGCUAACGCGUUAAGUAUCCCGCCUGAGAAGUACGCUCGCAAGAGUGAAACUCAAAGGAAUUGACGGGGGCUUGCACAAGCGGUGGAGCAUGUGGUUUAAUUCGAUGCAACACGAAAAACCUUACCAGAGCUUAACUUGGUGUAAGUAAAUUUAUCUUUAUUGAUUUUUUUGUAACACACAUAGGUGGUGCAUGGCUGUCGUCAGCUCGUGUCGUGAGAUGUUGGGUUAAGUCCCGCAACGAGCGCAACCCUAAUUUAAAGUUUAAAUUAUAUUUACUUUUUAGAUUACUUAUUUUUAGAACAAAUACAAAAAUAAGAGGAAGAAAGGAUGACGUCAAGUCAUCAUGCCCCUUAUGCUCUGGGCUACACACGUGCUACAAUGGAUAGUACAAUAGGAAAGUAUUUUAUCGUAAGAAAAAAUUAAUCCUGAAAACUAUUCUUAGUUCGGAUCAUAAACUGAAACUCGUUUAUGUGAAGUUGGAAUCGCUAGUAAUCGCCGGUCAUCUAUACGGCGGUGAAUUUGUUCCCAAGCCCUGUACACACUGCCCGUCACGCCAUGAAAGUUAAUUUAUUCUAAAAUAAUUUAAAUAAAUUCUUAAGAAGAAAUUAAUAAUUGGGGCGAAGUCGUAACAAGGUAGCAGUACUGGAAGGUGCCGCUGGAUUUA